rnacentral:ncRNA from 1 species
CUUGGUCAUUUAGAGGAAGUAAAAGUCGUAACAAGGUUUUGUUCUCGAGUAACGAGGAUGGAUUGGACUCCCUUCCGCGGUGACACUCACAGAAGCCUUUGCAGCCUCGCAAGAGGUCUGGCGCGACAGUAAAGAAUGCCUGAUGCAAGUCAGUUCGCUGGCAACACUUUCGAAUUGCGGGGACGUCCUGAGAGCUCGGUUCUACCAACCAGCAGAGAAAUCUAGCCGGGGCUGAUGUUAACAGCAUCGGAGGGUAAGAAUGAAUCGAGAUUGGAUGAUCCGCAGCCAACCCCUAAGGCUUGCUGCUAUGGGAGAGGUUCACAGACUAAGUGGAAGUGGGUGGUAUGCUCUAGCGUACUGCUUAAGAUAUAGUCGGUCUCUGCUGGAAACAGCGGAGAAGUCACUGCACAUGAAACGUUCCGUAGGUGAACCU